AAGGAAGCACAAUACUUCUGACACCCCAAACUCUUAGCUGCUGGCUGCUUGGUGGUGCCAGAAAUAUGCUUAGUAACCAAGAUCUGAAGUGGGAAAGCAGGACAGUAAGGCACAACUUCAUGUCAAGCCAAAUAAGAUCUUACAGCCUGUCCUCCUCAGAACCUACAGUGCUGCAGAAUUCUGUUCUAAACUAGAAGAUKUAGAUCUUCAUGUUUCAUUGUGUUAAUUCCGGUCUUGCAUUUUAGUGGUAGUGUAUUUCUG